rnacentral:rRNA from 1 species
UACAGAGGGUGCGAGCGUUAAUCGGAAUUACUGGGCGUAAAGCGUGCGUAGACGGUUAUUUAAGUCGGGUGUGAAAGCCCCGGGCUCAACCUGGGAAUUGCAUUCGAGACUGAAUAGCUAGGGUACGGUAGAGGGAAGCGGAAUUUCCGGUGUAGCGGUGAAAUGCGUAGAUAUCAGGAGGAACACCGGUGGCGAAGGCGGGUCUCUGGGCCGUAACUGACGCUGAGGAGCGAAAGCGUGGGGAGCGAACAGG